rnacentral:rRNA from 1 species
UACGAAGGGGGCUAGCGUUGCUCGGAAUCACUGGGCGUAAAGGGCGCGUAGGCGGAUCUUUAAGUCGGGGGUGAAAGCCCAGGGCUCAACCCUGGAAUUGCCUUCGAUACUGGAGAUCUUGAGACCGGAAGAGGUAAGUGGAACUGCGAGUGUAGAGGUGAAAUUCGUAGAUAUUCGCAAGAACACCAGUGGCGAAGGCGGGUCUCUGGGCAGUAACUGACGCUGAGAAGCGAAAGCGUGGGGAGCGAACAGG